GGAAUCUUCCGCAAUGGACGAAAGUCUGACGGAGCAACGCCGCGUGAGCGAUGAAGGCCUUCGGGUCGUAAAGCUCUGUUGUUAGGGAAGAACAAGUACCGGAGUAACUGCCAGUACCUUGACGGUACCUAACCAGAAAGCCACGGCUAACUACGUGCCAGCAGCCGCGGUAAUACGUAGGUGGCAAGCGUUGUCCGGAAUUAUUGGGCGUAAAGCGCGCGCAGGUGGUUCCUUAAGUCUGAUGUGAAAGCCCACGGCUCAACCGUGGAGGGUCAUUGGAAACUGGGGAACUUGAGUGCAGAAGAGGAAAGUGGAAUUCCACGUGUAGCGGUGAAAUGCGUAGAGAUGUGGAGGAACACCAGUGGCGAAGGCGACUUUCUGGUCUGUAACUGACACUGAGGCGCGAAAGCGUGGGGAGCGAACAGGA
rnacentral:misc_RNA from 1 species